AACUUUUUAAUAUAAUUAGAGUUCUUAUUUCACUUAACAGAAAUGGAGUAUUUAACUGUUUCUCUAGGAGUCCCUCCUUUUUGUAUAACGGGUACACUAUAAUUUCCUUACUUUAGAUUUCCCGAAAGCAGAAGAUCUAAUUUCUUACUAGGAUAUUAGUUUAGACAUAUACUAUGUAGAAUUAUGGUAUGUAAGAUAAGAAUUUAGGGGUGAAAAACCUACAAUUCUGCUGAUAACUGGAUCUUGGAUCAAAGUAUUUAGUACUAAAAACAGAUAUCUAGCUUUUAGGCUGGGUAUCUAUUGAAUAUUGUAUUUCAGAUUUUAUUGACUAGGGUUAAAAUCUCUUGUCUUGAAAAGUUAACUAAAAAUUAAUAUAUAAUAUAUUUCUUUCAUGUCCUAGAAAUUCCAAUAACUUUUUUGGAAGUUGAGAAUGUUUACAUUAGUAAUAAAUUUUUACAUUAUUUAAAUAUAGAAAAAGGAACUCGGCAAAAUCUACCUUAACUGUUUACCAAAAACAUAGCCUUGAGCUCUUAUUCAAGGUAAAGCCUGCCCAGUGCAGUAUUUGUUAACGGCCGCAGUACCCUGACUGUGCUAAGGUAGCAUAAUCAGUUGGCUUUUAAAUGGAGUCGGGAAUGAAUGGAUUUAUAGGGUUAAGCUGUCUCUUUUAUACUUAAUUAAAUUUACUUAUUAGGUGAAAAUUCCUAAUAAAAGAAAAAAGACGAGAAGACCCUAGGAGUUUUAACUAAAAUGAUUAAAGGUUACGUUUUUGUUGGGGCGACAUGAGAGUAUACAAUUAAACCUCUUAUUUAAAAUAAGCCGACUUAGUAUGAAAAUUUAAACUACCCUAGGGAUAACAGCGUAAUUCUUUAUUGAGUUUGCGACCUCGAUGUUGGAUUAGGAAUUUAGU
rnacentral:rRNA from 1 species